UCCCCAGGUGUAUUUUGGGCUGUCCAGGUGUAUUUUGGGUGCACUCACCUGUUCACUGGCUCGAUGAUAAUACGUCAGGUGUGAGUUUAGGUGUCCCCAGGUGUGUCCCCAGGUGUAUUUUGGGGUGUCCAGGUGUAUUUUGGUGUCCCCAGGUGUAUUUCAGGUGUCCAGGUGUAUUCCAGGUGUACUCACCUGCUCACUGGCUCGAUGAUAAUACGUCAGGUGUGAGUUUAGGUGUCCCCAGGUGUAUUUUGGUGUCCCCAGGUGUAUUUUUGGGUUGUCCAGGUGUAUUUCAGGUGUAUUUCAGGUGUGUAUUUCAGGUGUCCAGGUGUAUUUCAGGUGUAUUUCAGGUGUACUCACCUGCUCACUGGCUCGAUGAUAAUACGUC